AUGAUUCUGGGGGGUCUUCUCCUCUGCCUGGUGACAGCCCCCCUGGGUGUCCUGUCCCAGGUGCAGCUGCAGGAGUCUGGCCCAGGACUGGUGGCCCCCUCCCAGACCCUCUCCCUCACCUGCUCUGUCUCCGGAUUCUCCAUCACAACCAAAUAUUAUUGCUGGGCAUGGAUCUGCCAGACCCCAGGGAAGGGCCUGCUCUGGUUGAGGCGCAUGUGUUAUCAUGGAGGCACCAACUACAGCCCAUCCCUCACGAGCUGCGUCUCCAUCACCAGAGACACGAACAAGAACCAGUUCUCCCUGCAGCUGAGCUAA